UAGGGAAUUUUCCACAAUGGGCGAAAGCCUGAUGGAGCAACGCCGCGUGAACGAUGAAGGUCUUCGGAUUGUAAAGUUCUGUUGUCAGGGACGAACAAGUACCGUUCGAACAGGGCGGUACCUUGACGGUACCUGACGAGAAAGCCCCGGCUAACUACGUGCCAGCAGCCGCGGUAAUACGUAGGGGGCAAGCGUUGUCCGGAAUUAUUGGGCGUAAAGCGCGCGCAGGCGGUCGGGUAAGUCUGAUGUUAAAGCCCGGGGCUCAACCCCGGUUCGCAUUGGAAACUGCUCGACUUGAGUGCAGAAGAGGAAAGCGGAAUUCCACGUGUAGCGGUGAAAUGCGUAGAGAUGUGGAGGAACACCAGUGGCGAAGGCGGCUUUCUGGUCUGUAACUGACGCUGAGGCGCGAAAGCGUGGGGAGCAAACA
rnacentral:rRNA from 1 species